UGAAGCCCCUGAGGCUAAUCCAUGGUGCAUAACACCAGUUGUGUUCCUCUAUACCCUGUGCCAGUUGCUAAUAAUGGAGUUUUGUCUUGUUUUGGUUUUGGCGGAGUUUUUAUGGAAGAAAGAGUCAUCCAAGUCCAGUGGCAGAACAAAAAUCAAGAUGACUGUCAAUGGCUGGGGUGCAAAGGAUGACCUUGGCAUUGUCCAUGCUUCACCAAGUUCUAAGCUCUCCACGGCGCCUGCUUCAGCAGCCUUAAUGGCCAUUGGAACAAAUUGUUCUCGUCUGUCCACUCUGCUAGAGGAAGUCUUCACAUGUUUGGGAUAGACAGCCCCUAACUCACCAAAGGGUUUGAGGCCUGCAGCUUACCCUCAGCCCUCAGCCCAUCUGUUGAGACAGUUAUACCAGAGGAUGGCCUCUCUGCAUGCUACAGCUUUUUGGAGCCACAAGUGAAAGUUGGGUGACACCAAAGGAACUUGCCUUCUAAUGGAGGAAAACAAUAUAUAAAAGAGGUGCUGGAACGGGGAAGAGGAGGAGCAUAUUUAAGAAACAAGAGGAAACCAGCAUGGAGGCCUGGACCUCUGUGAGGUAAGGCUCAUCUAUCAGAACUGAGAGACCCAGGGACAAAGUCCAAUAUUCUGGUGGGUUGGAGAGGGUACUGUGAAUAGAGAUAGCAUGGUAAGGAGAUGCCUGGGAAGAUUUUUUUUAAUUCCUCAAGGGAAAAAUUUGGGCACAGGACCAAAUUUCUCAGCUAUUAAAGGAAACUUGGGAGCUUUUUAAGUAUAUCUUUUUACCUAUUGUGACUUCAUAGUUUGUCAAGCAUUUAUAAACAAGUAUCUAUAAACCUAUGAUUUAUAGGAAAUGGACAAAAGGUCAGCUCUGAACAUCUUUCUAGCCUACCUGACUGUUGCAUUCAUUGGCUUAAAACUUUACUCAAAAAAGUGAUUCACGUCCACUAGGUCCAGCUGCCAUUGGGGUAGCUUUGUUCUCAUACCAGUAAGUAUGCUAUGGAAAUGUCUUUCCCUUAGCCAGUUCUCCACCCGUCCUCUGCUUACUCCUCCAUCUGAAAAGAGAUGCCUCUUAGCUGCCCACCAUCUGUAGAAUGUAAUCUAUUGCCUUUAAAAAAAAGCCCUGAGGCUUAACAGAACCACACAAAAUAUACUGCCAUGGGAAGAAUAAAAUAAUCUUCUUUUAUUGUGUGUCAUGAAACAAGGGGUAUUGGGUGUUUUUGUAUAUUUCCAAUUGUAGAUGGAUGACUCAUGAAAUCCCUGUAGUCCCUCAAAAGAACAAUAUUACUUAUAUCCUCUUAGACUUUUCAACCUGAAGUGACAAAUUGGUUUUAAGCAACCAACUGGGUUUUUUUUUUUCCCAGCUUAUUCAGUGAGCAUACCAGAAAAUGAACCAUGUUGGCCAUUGUAUUCAACACAUUCAUUUUGUAACCCAUAUACACAUGAUGAGGUUCAAUGCUUCAGAAGUUUUUUUUUUUCCAUAUGAAUAUCACAGAUUUCUAGGUCUUCAGCAGCGACAGAUCAUUCUAGGUGGACUGCACCAGCUGCUAAAGAGUUUUCACUCUAUGCCAAUCACAACAAUCUGUUCUAGUCCCAUUUAAACAUUCAGAAAGAACUCAAAUUAGAAUAGCCAACACCACACAGACCCCCUCCAGUUUUAACACCCAGAUGGUCAGAUUUCAGGCUCUAUCCGUCGACUUCCUGACAGGACAGGUAGAUGUUUCCUGUUUGCGUUCUCCAUAGCCAAGUAUAUAUAAAGAUCACUGGAAAGGACUCAUGCCACUAUCAACUGCUAUAAAGUUGAAUAAGGACAGAAGGGUUUAUAGAGAAGGAAUUUUAAUGUGGAGAAACCAUUUUUACCACAAAUGAUAGCUACCAUCAAUCCAGGAAAACUUGACAUUCCCCCCAAAUAUUGUUCUGAAUCUCCUGAUUUUUACUAUUUCCUUACACAACAAUUUAUCCAUGAAUUGACUGUAAGAAACCUUUGGGGCUAGAAAGAUAGAACUUACAGGUUGCUACUCCUGAUGCAGUGAUAGCUCCAGGUUCCAGUAAUAAUGGUGGACUGAGGGACAAAAGCCAUUUCCGGAUCACUGAGAAAAUCCAUUUCUGUUGGAGUUCUUCAUAUUGGUAGCCUCUUUCUAUAGCCCACAGCCACACUUUGCAGCUUCCGGGGGCUCUGAGUAAUGCUCACCCCCAGAAGCCAUCAGUAGAACAUCUAAGGAAUUGACUUUUGGCUGCUUUCUAUGAACAUGUUUGUUGUUUGGGGACAGGGGAAAGAAACCCUAAGUCAAUAUCUCUUUUUUAUAAGACAUAGGAUAUAUUUAUUUAUAUUUUAUACAUGAAGCUGUAGUUCUGAAUCAUGAACAGCUUGCUUUUAUUUUUAAAUAUAUCAUAAAUUCAGUGUUAUUUCCAAAGAUGUCUUGGUUGUCUGGUUUUCCUACUUACCUUCAUUCUGUUCUUUCCCGUGCAUUUUUAAAAUAAUGUGUCAAUGACCUCCUUUUGUUACAGAAGGGUAGGGUCGACACAGAUAUGUUUAUCAGGUGAGAAAGCAUCAUGAUUGUUCUCUGUAGGAAAACAAGGCCUGGAUAUCUCCCUGCGUGCAAUAGGAAGUCUGUUCUGAUUGGCUGAAGGAAGUGGGCCCUCUGGGGCUUGUAUAAAACCACUGAGCUAGUUGCAAUCAGAGAUUUAAACAAAUGACUAUCAAUAAUGAAUUUGCUUGCUGUAGAGGAGAGCAUUUGGGUCUCUACCUCAUCCUCUUUUUGGCUGGAGGAGGUCCUUGUGAGCUCCUAAGACUACGAAGUAUCUUGGACUUCUCACCUUCCUGUUGCCAAUUGGAGCAGUUUCCUCAGAAGAGCUUAUGGCGGUGUCUACAUCAGAAGCUAAGAAUAAUCUUGACGAGAGAGAUGAGGAAAGCGGAUUCAAAGCUCUACAAAAACCUGUAGUGAAAGGUAUAAUAAUGCUGAGGGGGCAUGCUGGAGCCAGUUUGAUCAUUUCCAACCAGUGAGAGCUGAUUAUUAAAUUUUCAAUCUGAGCAUUUACAACUUGGAAAUAGACAGAUAUUACAAA